GUGGUGGCUCAGCGGUAGAGCACUUGUCUAGCACAAGUGAGGCCCUGGGUUCAAUCCUCAGCACCACA
rnacentral:tRNA from 1 species